rnacentral:rRNA from 1 species
CGCCCUUAUUAGAUACCCUGGGUAGUCCACGCAGUAAACGAUGAAUACUAAUUGUCCGGGACGAAUGAGUCCUGGGUGAUACAGCGAAAGCGUUAAGUAUUCCACCUGGGGAGUACGCCGGCAACGGUGAAACUCAAAGGAAUUGACGGGGGCCCGCACAAGCGGAGGAACAUGUGGUUUAAUUCGAUGAUACGCGAGGAACCUUACCCGGGCUCAAACGACACAGGAAUACUUUUGAAAGGAGGUAGCCAGCAAUGGUCUGUGUCGAGGUGCUGCAUGGUUGUCGUCAGCUCGUGCCGUGAGGUGUCGGCUUAAGUGCCAUAACGAGCGCAACCCCUACCGCCAGUUGCCAGCAGGUAAAGCUGGGGACUCUGGCGGGACUGCCGGCGCAAGCUGCGAGGAAGGCGGGGAUGACGUCAAAUCAGCACGGCCCUUACGUCCGGGGCGACACACGUGUUACAAUGGCAGGUACAGCGGGAAGCCACCUGGCGACAGGGCGCGGAACCCGAAAACCUGUCUCAGUUCGGAUUGGAGUCUGCAACCCGACUCCAUGAAGCUGGAUUCGCUAGUAAUCGCGCAUCAGCCACGGCGCGGUGAAUACGUUCCCGGGCCUUGUACACACCGCCCGUCAAGCCAUGGAAGCCGGGAGUGCCUGAAGUACGCGACCGCAAGGAGCGUCCUAAGGCAAUACCGGUGACUGGGGCUAAGUCGUAACAAGGUACC